UACAGAGGGGGCAAGCGUUGUUCGGAAUUACUGGGCGUAAAGGGCGCGUAGGCGGCCUUCUAAGUCGAACGUGAAAUCCCUGGGCUCAACCCAGGAACUGCGUCCGAUACUGGAAGGCUUGAAUCCGGGAGAGGGAUGCGGAAUUCCUAGUGUAGAGGUGAAAUUCGUAGAUAUUAGGAAGAACACCAGUGGCGAAGGCGGCUCACUGGCCCGGUACUGACGCUGAGGCGCGAAAGCGUGGGGAGCAAACAGG
rnacentral:rRNA from 1 species